UUGUGAAAUUUAUUUGUUUUUUUCCCUCCCGAUCCCUUUUAUGUGCUUAGUGUCUCAUCAAGUGCCUUUUCUUGUAGGACGGCACGAUUGCUGGUGUCAUCGGUCUGGAUUCACCAUCGCCCAAAGGGAGCAAGCUGAAAGCAUAUGCAAGGAGGAAAAGAGAGGCCAAGCCGAGCAAGCGGAAGAAGAGAAGGGCUCACUGAGCAAUUCUCCCAGAUGCUAUUCGUAGGAUUUAGGACUUAAGGCUGCACGUGCAGGAGUUGGUUGGCUUUCGGUAGAUCUGUGCGAAAGCCUGUCUCACCGCUGAUCCUAGGCGUUGGCACGGAUUGGUGUAUGAAGGCUUUUUUAAGCAUGGGACGGUGUAACCAGUGACAGUGCCACCUUUUGCUGCAAUUCUUGACCUGAGACAGCAUCUAGUAUUACUCGGCUGCUUGGCAA